rnacentral:rRNA from 1 species
UCAUCUGUUGCCAGCAUUUAAGGUGGGGGACUCAGAUGAGACUGCCGGUGACAAACCGGAGGAAGGUGGGGACGACGUCAAGUCAUCAUGGCCCUUAUGUCCUGGGCUACGCACGUGCUACAAUGGCCGGUACAGAGUGAAGCGAAACCGCGAGGUGAGGCAAAACGCAGAAAGCCGGUCUCAGUACGGAUUGGAGUCUGAAACUCGACUUCAUGAAGUUGGAAUCGCUAGUAAUCGCGCAUCAGCAUGGCGCGGUGAAUACGUUCCCGGGCCUU